GGAAAUUUCUGGAACCUUCUAUUCUGCGGCGCUACACAGCAAGCGGAGGGCUGAACGCUGCGCAGCUGGUGCACGGGCAGAGCUCCUCGGUCCGGUUCGUCUUUCCCACGUCACCACUUGCACUGUCACACCCCUCUGUCCUGCACCUGGCCUGGUCUGACUCAUCUCUUGACUGAGGGUUGCCUCUCUGCCUCAGCUCUGCAUGCAGAACAGGGAUAUUUCCUGCAGGGGAGACCAGAAAUUGAUGAUCCAAGAAUUUAAUUCUGGCAUUUCAAAAUGAAGAGGGGAAAAAACAAACAAAAAAAACAUGCUCAUUGCAGAAUCCCCAGAAACUGCCCUUAUAUAUAGGCAGUUGUGAGAAAUCAGGUCUGCAGCACUGACUUGCCACGUUCCUGCAGACUACAUUAAAGGUCCUCAGCUAGGGAGGAGGUUCCCUUUCAUGGGGCAGACAGGGAUUUCUUGCCUUUUUUUGCCUUGUCUAGAGGAUAUAAAGCAGCAUGGAGUCCUGAAAGGCUUAGAGAGGUUCCUCUGAAGGAAGCUACAGCACACCGCUGCUGUUGCUAAAAUGCAUCAGAAAAGGAAAAAAGAACAAUAACAUCGUACUUUCUUUGCUAUUACUUCCAAAAACUCUGGAAUACUUUGACAAAGCCAACUCUAACUGAUGGUAUUUGCUUGUCUCUGCACGUGUCCCCAUACACACACAUCCAACACACCCAGCAAACGCUUGAGACAAGCUCUGGUUUUGCAUAUAUGCACGCUAUGCAUAUCACAUGGUCCUGAGCUGCUCUCUUCUCCUUCCUCCUGCACGCUGCCUGCCCCAGCACGCUAUUGGGUUUGGAAAGAAAAGAACACAAUGUCACAGAUGGAUCCUUCCUGUAAGGUGUAUCUGCAGCUUGGCAGCAAGGGCUGACACCUCCCAGCUGCAUGCAGGGAAAGGGAGCUUGGUGAGGCCCAGGGAGAUCUGCAGGAGGGACAGCAUCAUCUUAAUCACACCCAAAAGGAAAUUUGUUUUUAAUCAAACUAUAAAUAAUGAGUGAGCCAUUGGUCUUUAACUGCUGCAUGCUAUUGCUGGAAGUUUUGGCUGCUAUGGGAGGUGCAGAGGGGAAGGGGUCAGAGGCACUCACCAUCUUCCUCUGCCUCACAUCUCCAGCGAUGCUCUCACUUACAGCAGCACAAACAUAAGUGACAUUUCCAGCAACCUUUAAAAACCUUUCUACACCUUUCUUCCUCCUGUUAAGGCAUGUGUUCAAUAUUGAAAAAACAAAA